rnacentral:rRNA from 1 species
UACGUAGGGUGCGAGCGUUGUCCGGAAUUAUUGGGCGUAAAGAGCUCGUAGGCGGUUUGUCGCGUCUGCUGUGAAAAUCCAGGGCUUAACCCCUGGACCUGCGUUCGAUACGGGCAGACUAGAGUUCGGUAGGGGGAGACUGGAAUUCCUGGUGGUAGCGGUGGAAAUGCGCAGAUAUCGGGAGGAACACCUGUGGUGUAGACAGCUUCUGGACCAUAACUGACGCUGAGGCACGAAAGCGUGG